rnacentral:rRNA from 1 species
AUGACUGCUCUUAUCGGUAUGGCUCCUACCGAGGAGGAGGGAGAAGAGAAGAAGAAGAAGGAAAGGAAAGCAUCCGGAGCUGCUUUCAAGUGGAUUCAAACUCACUUUGCGACGUGCCCUCCGGAUGCCACUGAUGACGUGAUCCAGACACAUGCUCGUGUCUACAUGUGGUAUGUUGUGUCGAGGACUUUGUUUCCUGACUCCACUGGCAAGAACGCUCCAUGGAUGUGGCUGAAGGCGUUGACCGUCUUCGAUAGCAAAUGGAGCUGGGGUUCAGCGACUCUUGCCUACUUGUACCGACAGGUAGUUGGUCUGUUUUGUGAUCAACUCAUUUCUUCAUUAGCAAUGCAAGCUUGCUGUCAAGUUAACAUUGUUUUUCUUUCAUAUGCAGCUGGACGAUGCGUGUUGCAGGAUCACAGAUAG